AAUCUCAAGCAAAUGGCUACAUGACUUCCUUAAUGCAUUCACAGACUAUGUAACCAUUAAACACUCAAACAUCCAAACUUAAAACAUAUGUUCCUGUGCAUCUGUUAGAGUUGUGUGUGAUCCUGGGAUGGAUCCUUUACGGACCUCAACGGCUGCCAGAAUCUGAAGCUUGUGCGCAUUUACAUUGCCCUCCAGCAGAGCCCACCGCCAUCAUAAUUAUUCAAGCAAAGAUAUUGGUUCUUUCAGUCUUCAGGUCUGUGGAAUUCUUCCAGGAUUCCAGACUGCCAGAUUUAAUUGAGUGACUUCAUACAACACAAGUGCUUGAAAAACAACAGGUGGAUAUCAGCUCUGGCCCUUAUACCGACCUUCUUUCAAGCUAGAACAACUGAUGUUUUUAGUGGUCAUUAAAUGACUCAGUAUGUUCUUUUAUUAUUCUCUCUAUACUCUCUCUCCAUUCACAUUUCCAUAUGGUACGCUGAGGCCUUAAGUAGUUCUGUUUGUUGAUUAAACGUACAGUAUAUAAGGUGAAGUGAGGUACCAUACUUAAUUAAUAACUGAUCUCAUGAAUUUAUCAAUUUUGUGACGGCAAAGUGAAAUAUGACUGAUUAUUAAUUUGAACCGUAAAAUACAUUAUGGAUGAGCAAGGCUUUUCGGUAACAGUGCUAAGAAUACUGGGAAUAGAAUACUAUUAGAGGAUGAGAAUUCCAUAUCAUAUUGUGGGGUCCUGGAAUGUGGAGCUGGCGCUUCGGUUUUCUCCUGAGC
ensembl:lncRNA